AAGACACUAGUAAAACCGAAUAUUACACUGCUUUGUCAGGGCAGAAUUGCGGGUUUAAACCCCGCGUGUCUUA
rnacentral:tRNA from 1 species